rnacentral:rRNA from 1 species
UACGAAGGGGGCUAGCGUUGCUCGGAAUCACUGGGCGUAAAGCGCACGUAGGCGGCUUCUAAGUCAGGGGUGAAAUCCUGGAGCUCAACUCCAGAACUGCCUUUGAUACUGGAGUGCUUGAGUCCGGGAGAGGUGAGUGGAACUCCGAGUGUAGAGGUGAAAUUCGUAGAUAUUACGGAAGAACACCAGUGGCGAAGGCGGCUCACUGGCCCGGUACUGACGCUGAGGUGCGAAAGCGUGGGAGCAAACAGGG